UUCGCAAUGCCCGAAAGGGUGACGAAGCGACGCCGCGUGUGGGAAGAAGGCCUUCGGGUUGUAAACCACUGUCGGGAGUUAAGAAAUGCAAGAAUGUUAAUAGCGUUUUUGCUUGACUAAGGCUCCGGAGGAAGCCACGGCUAACUCUGUGCCAGCAGCCGCGGUAAUACAGAGGCGGCAAGCGUUGUUCGGAAUUAUUGGGCGUAAAGAGCACGUAGGCGGCUAUAUAAGUCGGUUGUGAAAGCCUUCCGCUCAACGGGAGAACAGCAUCCGAUACUGUGUGGCUUGAGUGUGGGAGGGGAGAGCGGAACUUCUGGUGGAGCGGUGAAAUGCGUAGAUAUCAGAAGGAACGCCGGCGGCGAAAGCGGCUCUCUGGCCCAUAACUGACGCUGAGUGUGCGAAAGCUAGGGGAGCAAACGGGAUUAGAUACCCCGGUAGUCCUAGCCGUAAACGAUGGGCACUAAGUAGAGGG
rnacentral:rRNA from 1 species